rnacentral:rRNA from 1 species
ACAUACUCCUAACAGCUAGCUCACCCCCAAAAACCAACAACCAACAUUAAUAACCCCACAAACACUCCUUAAUAUAAAACAAACCAUUUUACCCCCCUAGUAUGGGCGACAGAAAAGGGACACUUGACGCAAUAGAGAAAGUACCGCAAGGGAAAGCUGAAAGAGAGAUGAAAAAGCCCAGUAAAGAGCAGAAAAGCAGAGACAACACCUCGUACCUUUUGCAUCAUGACUUAGUCAGUAACUUCCAGGCAAAGUGCACUUUAGUCUGAGCCCCCGAAACUGAGCGAGCUACCCCAGGACAGCCCAUUGGGGCAAACCCGUCUCUGUAGCAAAAGAGUGGAGAGAUCCUUGAGUAGAGGUGACAGACCUACCGAGCUCAGUUAUAGCUGGUUGCCCACAAAAUGAAUAGAAGUUCAGCCUUUAAUACUUUUUUACUCAAGCCCAGUUACUACUCCUUGAAACACGAAGAAGAUAAAAGAGUUAUUCAAAGGGGGGACAGCCCCUUUGAAAGAAGAAACAACUUUAUUAAGAAGGCUAAAGAUCAAAACUUACUAAGGAGUUUUAACUUGGUGGGCCUAAAAGCAGCCACCCACACAGAAAGCGUUAAAGCUCAAUUAAUCCUCCACCACAAUUCCGACAAUUCUAUCUUAAGCCCCUAAAAACUAGUGGGCCUCCCCAUGCAUACAUGGGGUAGACCCUGCUAACAUGAGUAAUAAGAGGGAUGCCCCUCUCCCGGACACCUGUAUACAUCAGAACGAACCCCCACUGAAAACUAACGCCCCCCACCAAAGAGGGCAUUGAGCUAGCUUAAGUAAACAAGAAAGCUCCUCAAAUAUGCAGCGUUAACCCCACACAGGUGUGUUUAAGGAAAGACUAAAAGAAAAAGAAGGAACUCGGCAAACACUGGCCUCGCCUGUUUACCAAAAACAUCGCCUCUUGCACAAAAUGUAUAAGAGGUCCCGCCUGCCCUGUGACUCAUAGUUUAACGGCCGCGGUAUUUUGACCGUGCGAAGGUAGCGUAAUCACUUGUCUUUUAAAUGAAGACCUGUAUGAAUGGCAUAACGAGGGCUAAGCUGUCUCCUUUUUCCAGUCAAUGAAAUUGAUCUUCCUGUGCAGAAGCAGGAAUCCCCCCAUAAGACGAGAAGACCCUAUGGAGCUUAAGACACAAGGCAGCCCAUGUAAAACACCUGGCUUAACAGAAAUAACAAAGUAGUGCCUGCCCAUUUGUCUUUGGUUGGGGCGACCGCGGGGCAACAAAAAUCCCCCACGUGGAAUGGAAACUCCCUCCUUAAAGCAAGAGCCACAGCUCUAGCUAACAGAACAUCUGACCAGCAAGAUCCGGCAAAGCCGAUCAACGGACCGAGUUACCCUAGGGAUAACAGCGCAAUCCCCUUUUAGAGCCCAUAUCGACAAGGGGGUUUACGACCUCGAUGUUGGAUCAGGACAUCCUAAUGGUGCAGCCGCUAUUAAGGGUUCGUUUGUUCAACGAUUAAAGUCCUACGUGAUCUGAGUUCAGACCGGAGAAAUCCAGGUCAGUUUCUAUCUAUGAAUGUUCUUUUCUAGUACGAAAGGACCGGAAAGAAGAGGCCCAUGCUACAAGCAAGCCUCCCCCUCACCUGCUGCCACCAACUAAAGCAGGCAAUAGGGCAUUCAACCACUGCCAAAGAUUAAGGCAA